ACAAGGUUUCCGUAGGUGAACCUGCGGAAGGAUCAUUACCGAGUGUAGGGUUCCUAGCGAGCCCAACCUCCCACCCGUGUUUACUGUACCUUAGUUGCUUCGGCGGGCCCGCCAUUCAUGGCCGCCGGGGGCUCUCAGCCCCGGGCCCGCGCCCGCCGGAGACACCACGAACUCUGUCUGAUCUAGUGAAGUCUGAGUUGAUUGUAUCGCAAUCAGUUAAAACUUUCAACAAUGGAUCUCUUGGUUCCGGCAUCGAUGAAGAACGCAGCGAAAUGCGAUAACUAGUGUGAAUUGCAGAAUUCCGUGAAUCAUCGAGUCUUUGAACGCACAUUGCGCCCCCUGGUAUUCCGGGGGGCAUGCCUGUCCGAGCGUCAUUGCUGCCCAUCAAGCACGGCUUGUGUGUUGGGUCGUCGUCCCCUCUCCGGGGGGGACGGGCCCCAAAGGCAGCGGCGGCACCGCGUCCGAUCCUCGAGCGUAUGGGGCUUUGUCACCCGCUCUGUAGGCCCGGCCGGCGCUUGCCGAACGCAAAUCAAUCUUUUCCAGGUUGACCUCGGAUCAGGUAGGGAUACCCGCUGAACUUAAGCAUAUCAA
rnacentral:rRNA from 1 species